GAUGAACGCUGGCGGCGUGCCUAAUACAUGCAAGUCGAGCGAACAGACGAGGAGCUUGCUCCUUUGACGUUAGCGGCGGACGGGUGAGUAACACGUAGGUAACCUACCUAUAAGACUGGGAUAACUUCGGGAAACCGGAGCUAAUACCGGAUAAUAUUUCGAACCGCAUGGUUCGAUAGUGAAAGAUGGCUUUGCUAUCACUUAUAGAUGGACCUGCGCCGUAUUAGCUAGUUGGUAAGGUAACGGCUUACCAAGGCAACGAUACGUAGCCGACCUGAGAGGGUGAUCGGCCACACUGGCACUGAGACACGGUCCAGACUCCUACGGGAGGCAGCAGUAGGGAAUCUUCCGCAAUGGGCGAAAGCCUGACGGAGCAACGCCGCGUGAGUGAUGAAGGUCUUCGGAUCGUAAAACUCUGUUAUUAGGGAAGAACAAACGUGUAAGUAGCUGUGCACGUCUUGACGGUACCUAAUCAGAAAGCCACGGCUAACUACGUG
rnacentral:rRNA from 1 species